AAUGAAUUAAUAAUAGUGCAGGCAAAGCAGUCUUACGCGACUCGGAAAUAGGGAAGCAGUCGUUCAGCUCAGCUUCACCGGCUCUCAACUCUUCCUUCUGCCCAUCGAUUCGCUUAUCCGUUCCAGCUUUGGAUUCUCAUUUUGUUGUAAAAUGUUCGACAUAACAACAAUGAAUCGCGGCGAACUUACGCUGCUCGGAACUGCAUUCUGUGUGAUGCUUUCAAUGCAUUUUACAAUACAGCUCCUGUCACAGCAUCUCUUUUAUUGGAAGAAUCCGAAGGAGCAAAAGGCUAUAAUAAUUAUCAUCCUUAUGGUUCCCAUAUAUGCUAUUGAUUCAUUUAUUGGCCUUCUGGAUUUUCGGGGAAGUACAGCAUUCUUUAUGUUACUGGACUCUAUUAAGGAAUGUUAUGAAGCUGUGGCGAUUGCUAAGUUCUUGGCUUUGAUGUAUAGUUACUUGAACAUAUCCAUGAGCAAGGGCAUAGUGCCAGACGAAAUUAAAGGAAGAGAAAUUCACCACUCAUUUCCAAUGACUCUUUUCCAGCCUCAUACUGUUCAUCUGAACCACCGUACCCUGAAGCUCUUGAAAAACUGGACAUGGCAGUUUGUCAUUAUCCGCCCAGUAUGCUCUAUUUUGAUGAUAGCAUUACAGCUUCUUGGGUUAUAUUCAAGUUGGGUCAGCUGGACAUUCACCAUCAUUCUCAACAUUUCAGUUUCACUGGCUCUUUAUUCUCUUGUGGUUUUUUACCAUGUAUUUGCAAAGGAAUUACAACCACAUAAGCCACUUGCAAAGUUUCUCUGCAUUAAAGGGAUUGUCUUCUUCUGCUUUUGGCAGGGAAUAGUGCUUGACAUUCUAGUCUCACUGGGCAUAAUCCGAUCUCAUCAUUUCUGGCUGGAUGUGGAGCACAUCCAGGAAGGUAUUCAGAAUGUCUUGGUUUGUCUGGAAAUGGUUGUCUUUUCAGUUCUCCAGCAGUAUGCAUACCAUUGGGCACCUUACAGUGGAGAAGUCGAGUCAAUGAUGUUAAACAAGAAAAGGGAAUAGUAUGGUGGGAUUGCAUGCAUUGAGCCUUUAUUAGGUUUUCCAUACAGUGUUGGAGCUUUAUGCACAGUAUUAUAAGUGAUUUGUUGCACAACUUUUUGGCAAGUGGGAGUACCAGAUGUAUAUAACUAGAAGCAUGCCAGAUGAUGCAAUCAACCUUUGUGGUGAAGUUGGUGAUUGGGAUAAAGAUGGUGAAAGUGUGGUGCACUACUGCAAAAUGGGGUUUUCUUCCCCACCAAAUGGGAUCCAUAUGUAAAGGUUAGCAGGACCACCAAAUACUUGAAUUAUGCGCAUGCUCACAAUUGAUCUGAAGUAUAGCUAAAAGUCAGGGAACACUUUAGUAAAUUCCAAAGAACUUUUUACAUGGGGAUCAUGGACAGCCUAUGCUAAUACUAGCUUCUAAAUAAGUCCUAAUCUGCAAAUUUUCUC